rnacentral:ncRNA from 1 species
GUAGUCUGCCAUACGCAGGAAGACCCGCUGAACUGAAGCAUCUCAUUAAGCGGAGGAAAAGAAACUAACUAGGAUUCCCUUAGUAAAGGCGAUCGAAAAGGGAACAGCCCAACGUCUUAAUCCCGCAAGGGAAAUGUAGUCGGUUCACCUAUUGCACUGGUCUAAGUCAGAUGGAAUGCUGCGCGAUUCAGAGUAAAAGCCUCGUAUGACCAACCGCAAGCUUACGAUGGACCGGGGAGAGUCGGAUACUUUGAGAGUAGUGUCUUAAGGGGGUGGUAUGUCCCAUCCAAGGCUAAAUAACGUGAGGAGACCGAUAGAUUACAAGUAGUGUGAACGAAAGAUGAAAAGAACUCUAAAACAGAGGGUGAAAAGUUCCUGAACUUGCUUAGGGUUAAGGCUAUUUAUAGUACCCGUCUUGAAACACGGAUUAGGGAGUUUAUCUGUAGUGCGAGUCUUUGCACGUUAACUGUAAAGGCGUAGAGAAAGCAACUGGCGUUUGCAUGGCUACUGAGCAUUACUGAUAGGACCCGAAAGGUGGUGAACUUUGCCUGCACAGGUUGAAGUCAGGGGAAACUCUGAUGGAGGACCGUACGGGUUAUUGAUGUGCAAAUCCUUUUUCUGAU